GCCCACUUCCUCUGCGCCUGGUGAAGAGACUGCAGGAUGAAAGACAGAAGAGAGAAGAGGCCAUGAUUGAUAGGAUUGUGCAUGUCUGUGCAGCACUAAUGAACUUGUCUGGCAGUGUCAUGUACAACCGUUACAGAAUCUGAGAGUCCCUGAACUUAUCUCAGUGCUGCUCUGCUGCUGCACACCCUGUCACCCUGCCUCUGAUGCCUGUCACCCUGCCUCUGAUGCCUGUCACCCUGCCUCUGAUGUCUGUCACCCUGCCUCUGAUGCCUGUCACCCUGCCUCUGAUGCCUGUCACCCUGCCUCUGAUGCCUGUCACCCUGCCUCUGAUGCCUGACGCUCUACCUCUGAUGCCUGACGCUCUGCCUCUGUUGCCUGAUGUUCUGCUGCCACUUGUGUUGCCUGAUGGAUCACUCCCUGUGCUACUUUCGACUGGACUGUGUUCUGCCUACUUAGCAGAAACAUAUACAGUGCUUAUCAUAAAUGAGUACACCCCCUUUGAAAAGAACACAAGAACAAUUUGAUCAACAAUAUUAACAAUUAUUAUCUGAUUAGUAUCAAAGUCACAAGUAUAGACAAUAUUGUACAGCCCAUUUGAUUCAUUCUAUUUGUAGCCUAUGUAUGUUUUCAUGUUGUAAAUAAAUGUAUAGGCUUUGUGAUAUUUGAUUUUGUACAUAUAGUCUAGUAGUCUAUGUUGAUACUGAAUGAAAUAGCUAUAAUAUGCUUCAAAAUGAAUUGGUAUAAAUAAAUAUGUAACUCUGUCA